rnacentral:lncRNA from 1 species
ACGAGGCUGUAUAAACUGUUUACUUGAUCUGGGUUUCAAGUUUCUUCUCAUUUGUUAAAAGAGACUGAAACUACUUCAACUCGUUUCUAUUUCAUAAAAGCUGUACAAUCAUUAGGGAAAUGGCUUCAGAUGAGACAAUUCAAGGAGAGAAAAAUCAUUGCAAUAGUAUUGCAUAGAUAUACCUCACCUAACUUCAUGCCCGGGCAUUGCAGUACAGUCACUGUUGACUGUUUUACUAUGAUCCAAAGGCGAUUGACACUCAUGCUUACUGGCCUCUACUCUUCGCGUAAUUCAAGUGGAUUUCGAUGCGUUCUGCUCCUAAGCUGCCGUUCACUUCCUUGACUAACCUUAAGCAAAGGAACUUGGGUCAUUUGAUGUCAUUCGGAACUGAACAUUAAAACAGUUGAGCUAACCGAGCCGAUUUCCCUUUCACCUGCAUGGUGACUGUGUGGAUGGUUUCAAAGCAGGGUCACAAGACUUUAAAUUUACCGGUGCCUUCUGAAAAUCAGGGGCAAGGCGAGUCACUUGCUGAGUUCUGCAUUUGUCGAAUGACAAAUAUAUGGUGGAAAACCACAUUUACUCAGGAGCGCCAAGUAAGCCAUUGGGUUUUGGAAGAAGCAACCCAUCACCAGUAUAGGAGUCAUGUAGUCAAUCGGAGAUUGUACACACAACAGUCCGUCCGACUGUGGGAUAAGUACAAAACUUGAGAUAGGAUAAGGUUAAUAAUUUGAAAAUCUUAACUGUAAAUUGUGUAUUUAUAAUACUUAUCCUAACUCAAACAAUGGAUUCAAUGGACUUACCCCACUACACAUAUUACAACAUUGGCUCCACGAAAGAGAAUGACUAGACAAAGGAGUCACAUGAUCAACCGAGGCCAUGCUGCAAGCUUCUAAGGAGGCUACCAGGCUGUCCAGUAGGGGGAGCAGUAAAGACUGUUUUUGUGCGAAUGGUACAAGAGACGCCAGAAACUUUGUUUACGGUUGGUUUCCACUCAACAGUCGAUCAUACCGGAGAGAAUACAAAAAGUGAGAUAGGAUAAGUAUUAUAAAUAUACAAUUCAUAGUUACAAUUUUUCAAUUUGUCAAUGUGUGUAUAUCAACUGGAGUUGUUGCACCCCUCAGUAAAUAUAUAAUAUAUACAGUGGAAACUAAACAUACCAGAUAAGUAAACACUAUUUUUUGGUCCAGGCAAAUUUCUUCAUUACUUAUCAUUAUUAGAGUCCGGUUAACUAAACUCAGAUAAGUAAACAAUAACGCUUAACUAAACGUUUUUUCACGAUCCCUGGAAGUAAAUUCCUUAACAAAAGAAACCGGACAACUAAAUAAGCGAUCAACACAUAAUCCGACAAGAGGGGUACGUGUCAGUCUCCGGCUAAACAAACAUCCUACUUACAGCUCGCAGGCGUCAUUUCCGGGUUUUGAUAAGUUUUGAUAAGUUAAAUACCUGAUAAGUAAACAAUUUUGGUGAGUCCCUUGAAAUUUUACGUAUCAGGUUUAUACUGGUGUAUAUGUGUAUAUCCACUGGAGUUGUUGCACCCCUCAGUAGGUGUAUAUGUGUAUAUCCACUGGAGUUGUUGCACCCCUCAGUAGGUGUAUAUGUGUAUAUCCACUGGAGUUGUUGCACCCCUCAGUAGGUGUAUAUGUGUAUAUCCACUGGAGUUGUUGCACCCCUCAGUAGGUGUAUAUGUGUAUAUCCACUGGAGUUGUUGCAUCCCUCAGUAGGUGUAUAUGUGUAUAUCCACUGGAGUUGUUGCACCCCUCAGUAGCACUGGAGUUGUUGCCCCCCUCAGUAGGUGUAUAUGUGUAUAUCCACUGGAGUUGUUGCACCCCUCAGUAGGUGUAUAUGUGUAUAUCCACUGGAGUUGUUGCACCCCUCAGUAGGUGUAUAUGUGUAUAUCCACUGGAGUUGUUGCACCCCUCAGUAGGUGUAUAUGUGUAUAUCCACUGGAGUUGUUGCCCCCCUCAGUAGGUGUAUAUGUGUAUAUCCACUGGAGUUGUUGCCCCCCUCAGUAGGUGUAUAUGUGUAUAUCCACUGGAGUUGUUGCACCCCUCAGUAGGUGUAUAUGUGUAUAUCCACUGGAGUUGUUGCACCCCUCAGUAGGUGUAUAUGUGUAUUUUCACAAUAGUUGUUGAACCCAUCUCUGUUAUACCUCUGUCAGUAUUGCCCAUGUUACAACUUGUAAAAUGAAUCAAAGUCUGUAGGCAUUAGCAUUGAUAAGAUAAAUGAAACAACCAAUGUGAAAUUCAAAUAAAAAAAACUGUUGUGGUCAUGUGAUCAUUGAGAAUACUCAUCUGAAGUGUGUGUGUGGAUGUGUGUGUGGAUGUAUGUAGUUUGUUAUGGGUAUAUUAUAUGGGCUAGAACAUGUAUCUGUGUGGAUGAAUGUAGUUUGUUACGAGUAUUUUAUAUGGGCUAGAACAUGUAUCUGUGUAGAUGUAUGUAGUUUGUUACAAGUAUUUUAUAUGUGCUAGAACAUGUAUCUAUGUAGAUGUAUGUAGUUUGUUACGAGUAUUUUAUAUGGGCUAGAACAUGUAUCUGUGUAGAUGUAUGUAGUUUGUUUUAUUAUGUUAUUUGGAUGUAUGUCAUUUGUUACAAGUAUAUAAUAUAGGGACAACAUGUGUACAUGUUGAUGUAUGUAGUUUCUUUUAUGGGGGAGAGAAUGUAUAUAUAAUAUAUGUAUAUAUAACUAUCUUCGUAUUCAGAUGCUAUUUGAAUGUGCCAGUGAGAAAUGAAGGUGUCUUACUAAUGUAAGGAUUACCAUGUUUUACAUGUUCUACCAUGAUGUGAACUUCAUGUUGAAAACUCUGGUUGUUGAACUGGCGUUGACAGAUGGUGAUAUCUGAGACUUGGUAGCAAGUGUACAGUUUGCUAAUUUUAUACAGUAUUCAUGUUUCAUACAUCUUUGUAACAAUACCUUUGGCAAAACCAUGUCAGUGGUUCAUAUGGGUGACUGAGGAAACUCUAAUUGUACAGAGGAUCCUUUCUCUGUUGUCUUUGCAAAUGGUGUUUUCAGUCUCAAUCCCAAUGUUGAUGUUAGCAGGAUCUGUUGAGCAGCUGUAUCUGGGGGUAGUGAUCUGCAGCUGUGUUGAUCUUCAGCAGCUGUAUCUGGGGUGUAGUCAUCUGUAGCUGCAGUAUCUGUUGUGUUGAUCUUCAGCAGCUGUAUCUGGGGGUAGUCAUCUGUAGCUGCAGUAUCUGCUGUGUUGAUCUUCAGCAGCUGUAUCUGGAGGUAGUGAUAUCCAGCGACACAAUCUGCUGUGCCAAUAUUCAGCAGCUGUAUCUUGGUGUAGUGAUAUCCAGUAACACGAUCUGCUGUGCCAAUAUUCAGCAGCUGUAUCUGGGUGCAGUGAUAUCUAGCGGCACAAUCUGCUGUGUUGAUCUUCGACAGCUGUAUCUGGGGGUAGUGAUCUAUAGCUGCAGGAUCUGCUGUGUGGAUCAGCAGCUGUAUCUGGGUUAGUGAUCUUCAGCAGCUGUAUCUGGGGGUAGUGAUCUGCAACCUAAACUUUACACUCUUGGACCUUUGCAUCUUGGUUUUCUUGGAGAAAAUCUUUGUUCCCUAAUACUGAUUAUAGAAUUUUAAAAUCGUUGUUACAUUAUGUAGUAAGGUACUCAAUAUGGGGGGCAACUCUUGUAGGCUUAAAAAUGAACCUUACCACAUCAAGAGUUAUGUCCCCUGGAGUAGCAGACAGCUUCCUUUGUUGGCAUGGCAGAUUUGACAGCAGAAGAGAAAAGAAAGUCUGGUUUUAGAUGAUUUUGAGAGGGGUGUGACUAAGGCAAAGAGUUAGCUGGUAGACAUGACAUUCCUCUGUCUACAGUAUACAGAACUUUGAAGAAUAUUCAGUCAGGAGUUGGGACUGAGCACUAGACAGGGGCAGGGAGGCCAAGGAAGUUCAGUACUACGGAUCGCCGGCAACUUGGUCAGAUUGUGAAUAGGGGAAAACUGAAAAGCAUUGAUAAUAUCAGAAAUGAGAUGAUUUUUAGAGGAAGUCCUCAGGUAUGUAAUGAAACUCUUAGACAAGAAUUACAAAGACUUAACAGGGUGAAAAAAGUGUGGAAUUCCCUCACCAUUGAUGAAAGAUGCACAAAAAGAAAGACAUUCUAACUGGUGUAGGGCUCACAAAAUUCAAGAUAUGAUAAUGUUUUCUUUUCUGAUGAAAGUUCUGUCUGUUUUUUUCCAAACUGUGUGAAAAGUUGGACAAAAGAUGCCUUGAAACCUGUCAACCAACUCCCAAGACAUAGCCCGAAAUUUCACAUGUGGGGUUGGAUAUCAUCACGUGGAGUGACGCCAUUGUGUAUUUGCAUUGGAAAUUUGACGAAUGAACGAUAUGUUGACAUAAUAAAUGAUAACCUCCUUCCAACGGCCCAAACACUGUAUGAAGAUACCAGUAAUUGGAUUUUCCAGCAUGAUAACAACCCAAAA